rnacentral:rRNA from 1 species
AGUCGAACGUCCUGGUUGGCUUCGGCCAGCCAGGGAGUGGCGUACGGGUGAGGAACACGUGGGUGACCUGUCCUCUGGUGAGGAAUACCCUCGGGAAACCGGGGACAAGACCGCAUAGGCCUUUUGGGAUCACACCUUAGAGGCAAAGCUCUCUCCGCAAGGAAGGGCGCCAGAGGAGGGGCCUGCGCCCGAUUAGCCGGCUGGUGAGGUAACGGCUCACCAGGGCUACGAUCGGUAGCUGGUCUGAGAGGACGAUCAGCCACACUGGGAUUGAGAACGGCCCAGACUCCUACGGGGGGCAGCAGUGAGGAAUUUUCCGCAAUGGGCGAAAGCCUGACGGAGCAACGCCGCGUGCAGGAGGACGGCCUUCGGGUUGUAAACUGCUUUUCUCUGGGAAGAAGUCAGUGACGGUACCAGAGGAACAAGCCCCGGCUAACUACGUGCCAGCAGCCGCGGUAAGACGUAGGGGGCGAGCGUUGUCCGGAGUUACUGGGCGUAAAGGGCCCGCAGGCGGUCAAGCGCGUUCGGCCUGACAGGCUCCGGCUCACCCGGGGCAGGCGGCCAGAAAACGGCUUGACUUGAGGGCGUGAGAGGGACACGGAAUUCCGGGUGGAGUGGUGAAAUGCGUAGAGAUCCGGAGGAACACCAAAGGCGAAGGCAGUGUCUGGCACGUACCUGACGCUCGGGGCGAAAGCUAGGGGAGCGAACGGGAUUAGAUACCCCGGUAGUCCUAGCCGUAAACGAUGACCACUAGGUAUCUGAGGUAUCGACCCCUUGGGUGCCGGCGCUUACGCAUUAAGUGGUCCGCCUGGGGAGUACGGUCGCAAGAUUAAAACUCAAAGGAAUUGACGGGGACCCGCACAAGCAGCGGAGCGUGUGGUUUAAUUCGAUGCAACACGAAGCACCUUACCAGGACUUGACAUGCCCUUGCACCAGCCGUUAUGGGCUGUCUCUUCGGAGCGGGGGCACAGGUGCUGCAUGGCUGUCGUCAGCUCGUGUCGUGAGAUGUUGGGUUAAGUCCCGCAACGAGCGCAACCCCUGCCGGUAGUUGAACUUCUCUACCGGGACUGCCACGAGCAACGUGGAGGAAGGUGGGGAUGAAGUCAAGUCAGCACGGCCCUGACGUUCUGGGCGACUCACACGCUACAAUGGCCGGGACAGCGAGGAGCCAACCCGCGAGGGGGAGCUAAUCUCCCAAACCCGGUCUCAGUUCAGAUUGCAGGCUGCAACCCGCCUGCAUGAAGGAGGAGUUGCUAGUAACCGUGAGUCAGCAUAUCACGGUGAAUCCGUUCCCGGGUCUUGUACACACCGCCCGUCACACCACGAAAGUCGGCAACACCUGAAGCCGCUGAGCUAACCC